ACAAAGGCUCUUUUCAGAGCCACCUAUAGUUUCAAAGAGAAAGCUG
rfam:Ailuropoda melanoleuca scaffold2693_30, whole genome shotgun sequence.